UCGUCCUUUACUCCUGUUACUGUACUAUACUUCUUUCAAGUCCACCUGUGUCUUCUCUCUCUCCUCAGUAGAUCAUCCACUUAUACCGGACACCGCUUCCCCACCCCUCGCCCUCCCCCCUCCCCAAAAACAAUCCCCAGUCUCCUUUUCUGCAUUUUUUUAGCUACUUACAAUACAACUCAUUCAUUCCCCACAGAUCAAUAUUCACUCCAUUCCCCUUUUUCCUCACUUCGUUUAGAUUUAUAUUCUCAGCUCCACAUUUUUUUCACACACUAACGGUGUCACUGCGUCGGUCUGUCACUCCGUCAGUAAGUCAGACAGACACCUGCAGCCGCAGAGCAGCCAAUCCUAGAAAUCAAUUGAUUGAGAAUGAACUGUGGUGUAAAAGUUGCUGCAUUUUUACAGCUGUAAAGAGCUACUGCAGUUGAUGGAGUUACUGUAGUUGAAGAAGAUCGAUAAUCGAAUUAGUUCUACUUUUUUUUUUUAUUUAAUUUUUUUGGGUGAUUAGAUAUUAUAUUCAGCGUGAAGGCGAAUAUUGGACACUGAGAAUAGCGGUUGGGGGUUUAUUAAUUGAAGUGAAUUUGCGUGUAGAAAAAGGAUAUGGCGUAUGAAUGGGAGGAUUUGGAGAUUGGGGGUUAUGAGGAAGAGGAGAUUUAGGGCUUUAUUUUAAGAGCUGCUCUUUGAUGCCUCGUCGGGAUAGGAUGAAUUCAGAUGUUAGCAGAACUGGGGGACCGGUCGAAAGAGACAUUGAGCAGGCUAUCACUGCUCUUAAGAAAGGUGCAUAUUUGCUGAAGUAUGGAAGAAGAGGAAAACCUAAAUUUUGUCCUUUCCGGUUGGCAAAUGAUGAGUCUGUUCUGAUGUGGCUUUCGGGGAAAGAGGAGAAGCACCUCAAACUAAGUCACGUGUCCAGGAUUAUUUCCGGUCAGCGUACUCCGAUUUUCCAAAGGUACCCACGACCAGAGAAGGAGUAUCAGUCUUUUUCCCUCAUAUAUAGUGACAGAUCUCUUGAUUUGAUUUGCAAGGAUAAAGAUGAAGCAGAAGUAUGGUUUAGUGGUCUAAAGGCAUUAAUUUCACGUAGUCAUCAGAGAAAAUGGAGAACAGAAUCAAGGAGUGAUGGGGUUUCAUCUGAAGCUAAUAGUCCUCGAACGUACACAAGGAGAAGUUCACCAUUACAUUCUCCAUUUGGUAGUGGUGACAGCUUACAGAAGGAUGGUAACGAUCAAUUUCGCCUUCAUAGCCCAUACGAUAGUCCCCCUAAGAAUGGUAUGGAUAAAGCUUUCUCAGAUGUAAUAUUGUACACCAUGCCACCGAGGGGUUUCUUUCCCUCAGAUUCUGCUAGUGGUUCUGUCCACUCCUUGUCUUCGGGUUCGGAUGGCUUACAUGGUCAGAUGAAGGCAAUGGGAAUGGAUGCCUUCAGGGUGAGCCUUUCUAGUGCCGUUAGCUCAUCAAGUCAAGGAUCUGGUCAUGAUGAUGGUGAUGCAUUGGGUGAUGUUUUUAUUUGGGGUGAAGGCACUGGAGAUGGUGUCCUUGGUGGUGUGCCUCACAGAAUUGGCGGUUGUUUUGGUAAUAAAUUGGAUUCUUUACUGCCUAAAGCUUUAGAAUCUGCAGUGGUACUCGAUGUUCAGAAUAUAGCCUGUGGUGGACGUCAUGCUGCCCUUGUAACAAAGCAAGGGGGGAUAUUCUCUUGGGGUGAGGAGUCUGGGGGUAGGCUUGGGCAUGGUGUAGAUUCAGAUGUUUUGCAGCCAAAGCUUAUUGAUGGCCUCAGCAACACAAACAUUGAGCUUGUUGCAUGUGGAGAACGUCACACUUGUGCUGUAACACUUUCUGGUGACCUGUACACAUGGGGUGAUGGUCAUUUUGGUCUUCUUGGGCAUGGUAAUGAAGUGAGCCAUUGGGUCCCAAAAAGAGUAAAUGGGCCAUUAGAGGGAAUACAUGUUUCAUCAAUCUCCUGUGGGCCCUGGCAUACCGCUGUUGUGACCUCUGCUGGGCAAUUGUUUACCUUUGGUGAUGGAACUUUUGGGGUUCUUGGUCAUGGGGAUCGCAGAAGUAUUUCAAGACCUAGGGAAGUGGAAUCUCUUAAGGGACUCCGAACUGUACGAGCUGCUUGUGGUGUUUGGCAUACUGCUGCAGUUGUCGAAGUUAUGGUUGGAAAUUCAAGUUCCAGCAAUUGUUCUUCGGGUAAACUAUUCACUUGGGGAGAUGGGGAUAAAGGAAGACUUGGGCAUGGUGAUAAGGAACCAAAACUUGUCCCUACCUGUGUUGCUGCCCUUGUUGACCCUAAUUUUUGUCAGGUUGCUUGUGGACAUAGCCUGACUGUUGCUCUUACAACCUCUGGUCAUGUAUACACUAUGGGCAGUCCUGUUUAUGGCCAGCUAGGAAAUCCUCAGGCUGAUGGAAAGCUCCCAUGCCGUGUUGAAGGAAAACUUGCUAAGAGUUUUGUGGAGGAGAUAGCUUGUGGUGCCUAUCAUGUGGCGGUUUUGACUUCAAGGACUGAAGUUUAUACAUGGGGAAAAGGAGCAAAUGGUAGGUUGGGCCAUGGGGAUACAGAUGACAGAAAUUUUCCCACGUUACUAGAAGCCUUAAAAGACAAGCAAGUCAAAAGUGUUGGUUGUGGUACUAAUUUCACUGCUGCCAUUUGCCUUCACAAGGGGUUCUCCGGGGUUGAUCAAUCUAUGUGUUCUGGCUGCCGUCUACCAUUUAAUUUUAAAAGAAAGCGCCAUAAUUGCUAUAAUUGUGGACUUGUAUUUUGUCAUUCAUGCAGCAGUAAGAAGUCACUCAGGGCUUCUUCGGCACCGAAUCCCAAUAAACCUUAUCGUGUCUGUGACAAUUGCUUCAGUAAAUUGAAGAAAUCUAUUGAAACUGAUGCUUCAUCUCAUUCUUCAGCGGGCAGGAGAGGAAGCAUAAAUCAGGGAUUAAGCGAUAUUAUUGACAAAGAUGAAAAAGUGGAUGCCAAGUCUCGUCCUCAUCUUGCUAGGUUUUCUUCAAUGGAAUCAUUAAAACAAGUGGAAAGCCGCUCUUCCAAGCGAAACAAAAAAUUAGAAUUCAAUAGCAGCCGUGUAUCACCUAUUCCAAAUGGAAAUUCCCAAUGGGGAGCACUCAAUAUCUCUAAAUCUUUUACUGGAUCAUCCAAAAAGUUUUUCUCAGCAUCUGUUCCUGGAUCAAGAAUUGUUUCACGAGCAACAUCACCAAUAUCUAGACGGCCUAGUCCACCUCGUUCUACUACUCCAACUCCAACUUUGGGGGGGCUUACAUCACCGAAAGUUGUUUUGGAUGAUGCAAAAAUGACGAAUGAUGGUCUUAGUCAAGAAGUUAUUAAGUUAAGAGCUCAGGUGGAAAAUCUUACUCGUAAGGCUCAACUUCAAGAAAUAGAGCUGGAACGAACUAAUAAGCAGCUGAAGGAGGCAAUAGCAAUUGCUGGGGAAGAAAGUGCAAAAUGCAAAGCUGCUAAAGAAGUAAUAAAGUCACUUACUGCUCAGCUGAAGGAAAUGGCGGAAAGGCUUCCUGUUGGUGCUGCCAGAAACAUCAAAUCUCCUCCCUUGACUUCACUGGGUUCUAAUCCUAUCUCUGGUGAUGUUCCAAAUGCUUCUACUGACAAAUUGCAUGGUCCAGCAUCUGGCCUAGAACUGGAAUCCAAUGGAGUAAAUAAUCAGUUACUUCCCAAUGGAUCUAGUACCAACAGUACUCGUAGUUCUGGUCACAACAAACAAGGGCAUUCAGAAGCAGCUGCAAGAAAUGGGGGCAGAACAAGAGAAGGUGAUUGUCGUAAUGAAAACGAAUGGGUGGAGCAAGAUGAACCUGGUGUUUAUAUCACACUUACCUCCUUACCUGGAGGUGCAAAAGAUCUUAAGCGAGUACGCUUCAGCCGGAAGCGGUUCAGUGAGAAGGAAGCAGAACUUUGGUGGGCAGAAAAUCGGGCAAGAGUAUAUGAACAGUACAAUGUACGCAUGGUUGACAAGUCAAGCAUUGGUGUAGGAAGUGAGGACUUAGCACAUUGACAUGUCGAUACAUCAUAUGUAUAUGCUGUCUCUUUUCUUUACCUUUUCUACGUUACUUCCAGUCAUAUAGGGAAGAUCAUAUUGAUUGGUAGGAUUGGCUUUCUUUUCACUAAGCGUUGGAAGCAAAAAGUUUGCCUUACCAGGAUAGAGCAGUAGAGAUGACACAAUGUGUGGGGGAUGAGGGUGAGAAAUGUAAAGUUCUAGUAGGCUGCUGGCUCUUGUUGGGAGCAGCUUCCUUGUAAAUUCCACAAGCAAAUGUAUCUUUAAUUUUCUUGCUCAUCUUCCUCCUUCACUUCAUUUGGUUUAGUUGCAGGUGUUGUAUGGUUAUUGCUGUUCCUUGUGAAAUUUCUCUUUUUGAUUAUAUUCGGAGCGCCAUGAUGUCUGUAUUUAUUUA